CCUACGGGCGGCAGCAGUGGGGAAUAUUGGACAAUGGGGGGAACCCUGAUCCAGCCAUGCCGCGUGUGUGAAGAAGGCCCUCGGGUUGUAAAGCACUUUCAGUGAGGAAGAACGCCUGGUGGUUAAUACCCAUCAGGAAAGACAUCACUCACAGAAGAAGCACCGACUAACUCCGUGCCAGCAGCCGCGGUAAUACGGAGGGUGCGAGCGUUAAUCGGAAUUACUGGGCGUAAAGCGCGCGUAGGUGGCUUGAUAAGCCGGUUGUGAAAGCCCCGGGCUCAACCUGGGAACGGCAUCCGGAACUGUCAAGCUAGAGUGCAGGAGAGGAAGGUAGAAUUCCCGGUGUAGCGGUGAAAUGCGUAGAGAUCGGGAGGAAUACCAGUGGCGAAGGCGGCCUUCUGGACUGACACUGACACUGAGGUGCGAAAGCGUGGGUAGCAAACAGGAUUAGAUACCCUUGUAGUC
rnacentral:rRNA from 1 species